UACGGGGGGGAGCAAGCGUUGUUCGGAUUUACUGGGCGUAAAGGGCGCGUAGGCGGCCACCGCAAGUCGGUUGUGAAAUCUCCGGGCUUAACCCCGGAAAGGUCAAUCGAUACUGCGGGGCUAGAGUGCAGAAGGGGCAACUGGAAUUCUCGGUGUAGCGGUGAAAUGCGUAGAUAUCGAGAGGAACACCUGCGGCGAAGGCGGGUUGCUGGGCUGACACUGACGCUGAAGCGCGAAAGCUAGGGGAGCGAACGGG
rnacentral:rRNA from 1 species